rnacentral:rRNA from 1 species
UAGGGAAUCUUCGGCAAUGGGGGCAACCCUGACCGAGCAACGCCGCGUGAGUGAAGAAGGUUUUCGGAUCGUAAAGCUCUGUUGUAAGAGAAGAACGUGUGUGAGAGUGGAAAGUUCACACAGUGACGGUAACUUACCAGAAAGGGACGGCUAACUACGUGCCAGCAGCCGCGGUAAUACGUAGGUCCCGAGCGUUGUCCGGAUUUAUUGGGCGUAAAGCGAGCGCAGGCGGUUUAAUAAGUCUGAAGUUAAAGGCAGUGGCUUAACCAUUGUUCGCUUUGGAAACUGUUAAACUUGAGUGCAGAAGGGGAGAGUGGAAUUCCAUGUGUAGCGGUGAAAUGCGUAGAUAUAUGGAGGAACACCGGUGGCGAAAGCGGCUCUCUGGACUGUAACUGACGCUGAGGCUCGAAAGCGUGGGGAGCAAACAGG